rnacentral:rRNA from 1 species
CCUACGGGAGGCAGCAGUGGGGAAUUUUGGACAAUGGGCGCAAGCCUGAUCCAGCCAUGCCGCGUGCAGGAUGAAGGCCUUCGGGUUGUAAACUGCUUUUGUACGGAACGAAACGGUUCUUUCUAAUACAGGGGGUUCAUGACGGUACCGUAAGAAUAAGCACCGGCUAACUACGUGCCAGCAGCCGCGGUAAUACGUAGGGUGCAAGCGUUAAUCGGAAUUACUGGGCGUAAAGCGUGCGCAGGCGGUUAUAUAAGACAGAUGUGAAAUCCCCGGGCUCAACCUGGGAACUGCAUUUGUGACUGUAUAGCUAGAGUACGGCAGAGGGGGAUGGAAUUCCGCGUGUAGCAGUGAAAUGCGUAGAUAUGCGGAGGAACACCGAUGGCGAAGGCAAUCCCCUGGGCCUGUACUGACGCUCAUGCACGAAAGCGUGGGGAGCAAACAGGAUUAGAUACCCUGGUAG